rnacentral:piRNA from 1 species
UAGAAACACAACUCAGGGAGAC